rnacentral:rRNA from 1 species
CAGGCCUAACACAUGCAAGUCGAACGGCAGCACGGGAGCUUGCUCCUGGUGGCGAGUGGCGGACGGGUGAGUAACGCGUAGGAAUCUGCCUGGUAGUGGGGGACAACUUGGGGAAACUCAAGCUAAUACCGCAUACGCCCUACGGGGGAAAGCGGAGGAUCUUCGGACUUCGCGCUAUCAGAUGAGCCUGCGUAGGAUUAGCUUGUUGGUGGGGUAAAGGCUCACCAAGGCGACGAUCCUUAGCUGGUCUGAGAGGAUGAUCAGCCACACUGGGACUGAGACACGGCCCAGACUCCUACGGGAGGCAGCAGUGGGGAAUAUUGGACAAUGGGCGAAAGCCUGAUCCAGCAAUGCCGCGUGUGUGAAGAAGGCCUGCGGGUUGUAAAGCACUUUCAGUAGCGAGGAAAAGCUGAUGGUUAAUACCCAUUGGUCUUGACGUUAACUACAGAAGAAGCACCGGCUAACUCCGUGCCAGCAGCCGCGGUAAU